rnacentral:rRNA from 1 species
ACUCAAAUGAAUAGACGGGGGCCCGCACAAGCGGUGGAGCAUGUGGUUCAAUUCGACGCAACGCGAAGAACCUUACCUGGGCUCGAACGGUCAGUCAACGAUGGUGGAAACACUGUUACCCCGCAAGGGGGUCUGAUCGAGGUGCUGCAUGGCUGUCGUCAGCUCGUGUCGUGAGAUGUUGGGUUAAGUCCCGCAACGAGCGCAACCCUUGUCCUGUGUUGCCAUCCCGCAAGGGGGGACUCGCAGGAGACCGCCAGCGAUAAGCUGGAGGAAGGUGGGGAUGACGUCAAGUCCUCAUGGCCUUUAUGUCCAGGGCUACACACGUGCUACAAUGGCCGGUACAAAGCGCCGCUAAGUCGCGAGACGGAGCCAAUCGCAAAAAACCGGUCUCAGUUCGGAUUGCAGGCUGCAACUCGCCUGCAUGAAGCUGGAAUCGCUAGUAAUGGCGUAUCAGAACGAUGCCGUGAAUACGUUCCCGGGCCUUGUACACACCGCCCGU